rnacentral:rRNA from 1 species
GAUCGAGUUGUAAUUUGAAGAAGCGUUUUCUGCGUAUUUGGUCAGCCUAAGUCCUAUUGAAUGAGGCAUCAUGGAGGGUGAUAAUCCCGUCCGGUUGAUCAUUUGCGUUUUACGAUACGCUUUCUAAGAGUCAAGUUGUUUGGGAUUGCAGCUUAAAAUGGGAGGUAAAUUUCUCCUAAGGCUAAAUAACGGCGAGAGACCGAUAGCGAACAAGUACC